rnacentral:lncRNA from 1 species
UCUCUCCCUCUGUAUUGUUGUGAUUUCUGUACUUUCACCCAUGAACCAUACAUAACUUCGAUUUUUGCUGUAACCAUCAAUAUUGAGGGAAAUAAAAGGAAACAUGCGUAAGAACAAAGUUGAAAUUAUCUGUUUGUUCUUUGUUUUUUCAAGGAAACCAACAGUUGAUGCCUUUUAUUUAUACUGUAUUUUUGGUAAGCUCCUUGUAUUUAUACUAUCAAUAAUAUAUUUGGUCAGAUCUUUGGGAAAUUGCUUAAUAAUAUUGUGAAGGAAGAUAAUAAUAGUAGAAAGGAGACUGAUUUAUGAGGCCUAGGGCUUUGAAUCUGCCCAAAGAAAAAUUAAACAAAGAGACUAAUAUUGGUUGGUUUCUGCCAGUAUUACUCUUUCAAGGUACAUCGUGUCUUGUGUUUUCAUGACAUUUAGGAUGUCAAUUUUGGAUAGAUUGAUAUUAAUAAACUGGAACUGCAAUUGUUUUUUUACUUCUUGUAGGAGUACUAUUUCCAAAGUAUAUCCUGCAAUGUAUAGAGAGAAUGUCACCGAACUUGCAUUUGAUGAUAUUACACCAAAAAAUCCUAACUUUUCAUCCAUUCAAGGUAGCAAUACCUUUCAAUUUUUUGAGCUGCAAUGGUCGUAAAAUAGGUUGCUUUUCUUGAUUUAAGAGUUGAUUUUGGUUGCAUCAUGAUUCAGGGUAUCUAAUUGAGUUGGAUAUUUCAGGCUUGGCAGAAGUUGGACUCAUCACCAGCAAGCUUUCAAGAAGCGAUAUGCCUUUCGUAAAUGAUGACCAGAGUUCCCCUUUUCCCCUUGCUUCUCUUCUGGAAGGUUAGAUUAUACAGUUGGCGGGGAAUACAAUUUUACAUGUUCCUGUUUUCUUAAGUAUAUCAGUGUUUCCUGGUUUCUUCUAAUCUGUUAUGGAAAAAACAGUUGCGUUGCCCAAUCAUCUUUUGACUUCAUCAAUUAUUGUGGUUUUAUAUGUUGGUCGAUUUACAUACUGCCUUCCAGUAUUUUUCAUAUUCUUAUAUGUUUUUCUCUUUUCAUUCAAUGGUCUUAAUGCUUAUAACCUGAAAUACUAUUGUUGCAUUAAUAAUUAGAGUGUCUGCUGUCUCAGUUUGUGGCUAAGUUAAUGCAACUUUAUUCAAUAAAUUGUAAGGUUUAGAAAUUCAACAUAUUGGAGCGCUAAGUUAUAAUGGAGAACAAAGCUUCAUGGUUGAACAGAAUUACAUAGCUGGGCAGAGUUACAUGAAUGGACGGAGUCACACUGCUAGACAGAGUCAAAUGUUUGGGCAGAGCUACAUCAUGAGGUCUCCAAUUUUGCUAAAUAUGAUGUGCAAUCCAUAUUAUGGGCAGCCAAAUAUGGUGCAAGGAGGAGGCAUCCCAUUUCAGCCAAGCAUGUUGUGAGAAAUAAUUGGCACAAACCAAUUUAUGAUUAACGUGCCAAGUGGACCAAACAACCUACCAAGUUUACAGAACACUCAAUCAUGGAAUGAAUGACAACCAAAUUUUACACAAAUGUUGAAUGCAGAGGAUAGUGAGGAACAAUAGAAGACUUUCUUUCAUUGAUUUUGUAAUGAAUUCAUGAAGAUUGUUUAAUUAUUUUGAACCUUGUGAAAUUUCAAUUGUUUUCAGCCUGCCAUAAGAACUACAUUUCCUUCUCAUGCUGCUCCAUGUCAUUUAAAACUGAACUUAUAUCAGGAACAUAAUCUCUUUUCUUCAUCUUAGCAUCUAACUACUUAAGCAGACCAAAAAUCUCAUCUUUCUGUUAAGACAUCAUUACAUUUGGCAUACAUAUCCACAAGUGCAUUACUAACAAAAAAAACUAGAUUCAAACCAAGAGCUAAACCUAAGCAAUGAACUUGCUUUCCAAACUCCAAUGCUGCUAAAUUAGCAGAUGGAGUCUAACAGAACUUUGAAAAGUAUCUACUGCCUUUACAUUUCACAAUUGAUAACUGUUCUCUCUAAACAAGUAAAAUCAUUACUAACAAAAGUAUUUGGCAGCCACCUACGAAGUAUGAAUUAUGGAAUAAUCUAACUGAAAAAUUAAGAGUGUCCACUGCUAUUAAAACAAACUUCAAGCACAACUCAACAAACUACAAAUUCAACCCUUUACAUUAAAAGCUCAUACGCAAAAAUAUAUCUAAAAAAGAGAAUCAAAUUGUUUCAAAAAAAAAAAGAGAAACAGAUCCAUCAUCUCCAAGGUUCAACAAAUCGUAAUGUCAAAAAAGAGACAAACAUCAUCUCCAAUAAUUACAUAUUUGGUAAAGGCAAGCAAUUGUAAACUGGAAUGGAAGACACUAAAAGUGAUCUUGGGAAUCCAUUGUCAAUUCUACUUCUAAUCAUCAAAUGUUGUCUUCUUCCCUGCACAAAUAUUUACGAUACAAAAUAUCAUCAAAAAAAGAAGAAAGAAAUCCUGAUCAAUCAGCCAAUUAUUAUUUUCAAAAGGAACAUCUACUAUAUUUGGUUGUGCACCCAUGAUUAUUUGAAGAUUUUGAGUGUUGUAACUUAA